CAUUGGAAACAUUGGCAUCUUAAAGGAAUAAAUUAUGUAUGAGCCCAAAUUUUGCAGAACUAUGGCCCUUGCUCAUUUUUGUUUAGCUCCUCAGCUGAAAUCAUCAUCUAGCAGUCACAAUAGUUGAGCGGUUGGAGAGGCAUGCAUUGCGUCCUACUACUGCUCAGACUAUAUCAUGUUUGGCAGACAAAACAUGCUGAUCAAAAAGAAUGUGUACCACAGGGGCCAGUGUUUCCAUUUGAGUGAUUGACAAGAAGAAGAAGAGAUGAGAAAUGUUAUCAUCAUAUUUUAGUCCCUACAUUUAUAGUGUACAGCUCAAUGUAUUGAACCGGUGUUGUAGAAUAUAAUUGGAGAUACAUGCGAACAUUAUAACAUUAUAUAUAAGAUGAUAUUUCAAAAGCAAUAAGAAAUAAAAAGUAUAAAAGGUCAAAACAGUAAACCUUGUGUUUACAGUGGACAGGUUUAAAGUGGAAGUGACUAGUUAACUGUUGAUCAUAAGCUGCACUGAUGGAAAAAAUAGUGGGAAAUUACUAUCUAGAAAACUUUUUAACCUACGACAACAGUUGUGGAACUUCAUAAAUGACCGUAUGUAACAGGGCUGUGCAGUUUUCCUUAUAUAGCUAUAGUGAAACCUUUUAAACACUAGUGAAGUCACUGUUUUUUUUCCAAUCUUCAUGCAUUUUGGUCGAAUAUUUGUUCAAAUGAUGGCUCAGUCAAGUUUCGAAAUUUUUAUGUCUAUUCAAAAAACAUAUCCACUAGAGCACGAGGCAAUUGUCUUUUUAUGGCUAUAAUGAAACCUUGUAAAUUCUCUAGAAGUGACAUUUUUAGCCAUAUCUCCAUAAAUUUCGGUCAGAAUAUUUAUUCUAAUGAUAGCUCAGUUGUCGAGUUUGUAACUGGUUCCGGUUUGUAGACUAACAUGGCUGCCAGUGGACAUGACAGUUUUUCUUAAAGUGCUAGAGUAGAACCUUGUUAACACACAAUUGGGCUUUUUUAUGUGCAUUUUUCAUGAAAGAUGAUCAGAGCAUUUGGCCCAAUGUAAUCUCAGCUGACUUUGAAACUGGAUCACAUAACGUCAAAAAGUGGGUCAAAAUGUCAAAUUAAAAAAAGCUUGUAAACACUGGAAGUUGCAUUUAAAAUUGUGUUCCUUUUUUAUGUCCCCCACUAUAGUAGUGGGGGACAUUUUGUUUUUGCCCUGUCUGUUGGUUGGUUGGUUUGCGCCAACUUUAACAUUUGCAAUAACUUUUGCAAUAUUGAAGAUAGGAACUUGAUAUUUUGCAUGCAUAUGUAUCUCAUGGAGCUGCACAUUUUGAGUGGUGAAAGGUCAAGGUCAUCCUUCAAGGUCAAAGGUCAAAUAUAUGGGUCAAAAUCGCUCAUUUAAUGUACACUUUUGCAGUAUUUCAAUAUUCAAGAUAGCAACUUGAUAUUUGGCAUGCAUGUGUAUCUCAUGGAGCUGCACAAUUUGAGUGGUGAAAGGUUAAGUUCAUCCUUCAAGGUCAGAUGUCAAAUAUAUGUGUCCAAAAUCGCUCAUUUUAUUAUACUUUUGCAAUAUUGAAGAUAGCAACUUGAUAUUUGGCAUGCAUGUGUAUCUCGUGGAUCUGCACAUUUUGAGUGGUGAAAGGUCAAGGUCAUCCUUCAAGGUCAGAGGUCAAAUAUAUGUGGCCCAAAUCGCUAAUUUUAUGAAUACUUUUUCUAUAUUGAAGAUAGCAACUUGAUAUUUGGCAUGCAUGUGUAUCUCAUGGAGCUGCACAUUUUUAGUGGUGAAUGGUCAAGGUCAUCCUUCAAGGUCAAAUAUAUGGGUCAAAAUUGAUCAUGUAAUGUCACUUCUGCAAUAUUGAAGCUAGCAAUUUUAUAUUUGAAAUGCAUGUGUAUCUCAUGGAGCUGCACAUUUUGAGUGGUGAAGGGUCAAGGUCAUCCUACAAGGUCAAACGUCAUAUAGGGGGACAUUGUGUUUCACAAACACAUCUUGUUUAAAGUUUGUCAAAACAUUUGCUGUAAUGAUAAGCAAAGUCAAGUUUAUAAAUGAUUAUUUGCCUACAAAUUACAUAUUUUUCAUUAAGUUCAUUUAUUAUUCUAAACUACACCCUCUCAGAAUAGUUUAGUUACUUCUGGUCACAGUUGAGCACCUUAGGGCUCUUGUUCUAUAAUUUGAUUGUUUUGGAAAAUUGUCAUUUUGCCAAAAUGUGAGCAAGUCCAAAUUUAAUUAACCCUGCUUUGUAGUAUCUUGUUUUCCUUAUAUGUAUAAAGUGGAAAAUUAUCUAUGAAUCUGACUGCAUAGAUAUUUGGUAUUCAGCAAAGCAUCGUGUAAAUGUAGUAAAACUAAACACAAUUGUGUUAGCAUAAAACUGGCCAUGCCAUGGGGGUCAAAUGGUUAAUACAGACUUGUAGGAAAAAGACUUCUAAAAAAUUUAUCCAUUAAAUAUAUUUUGUGUACAUAAUGAUUAGCUUUUUCCUUCAACUUAUC